GACGAACGCUGGCGGCGUGCUUAACACAUGCAAGUCGAACGGAAAGGCCCUGCUUUGGUGGGGUGCUCGAGUGGCGAACGGGUGAGUAACACGUGAGUAACCUGCCCUUGACGUUGGGAUAACUUCAGGAAACUGGGGCUAAUACCGGAUAGGAGCUCCUGCUGCAUGGUGGGGGUUGGAAAGUUUCGGCGGUUGGGGAUGGACUCGCGGCUUAUCAGCUUGUUGGUGGGGUAGUGGAUUACCAAGGCUUUGGCGGGUAGCCGGCCUGAGAGGGUGACCGGCGACAUUGGGACUGAGAUACGGACCAGACUCCUACGGGAGGCAGCAGUGGGGAAUAUUGCACAAUGGGCGGAAGCCUGAUGCAGCAACGCCGCGUGCGGGAUGACGGCCUUCGGGUUGUAAACCGCUUUCGCCUGUGACGAAGCGUGAGUGACGGUAAUGGGUAAAGAAGCACCGGCUAACUACGUG
rnacentral:rRNA from 1 species